rnacentral:rRNA from 1 species
GACGAACGCUGGCGGCGUGCUUAACACAUGCAAGUCGAACGGAAAGGCCCUGCUUUUGUGGGGUGCUCGAGUGGCGAACGGGUGAGUAACACGUGAGUAACCUGCCCUUGACUUUGGGAUAACUUCAGGAAACUGGGGCUAAUACCGGAUAGGAGCUCCUGCUGCAUGGUGGGGGUUGGAAAGUUUCGGCGGUUGGGGAUGGACUCGCGGCUUAUCAGCUUGUUGGUGGGGUAGUGGCUUACCAAGGCUUUGACGGGUAGCCGGCCUGAGAGGGUGACCGGCCACAUUGGGACUGAGAGACGGCCCAGACUGCUACGGGAGGCAGCAGUGGGGAAUAUUGCACAAUGGGCGGAAGCCUGAUGCAGCAGCGCCGCGUGCGGGAUGACGGCCUUCGGGUUGUAAACCGCUUUCGCCUGUGACGAAGCGUGAGUGACGGUAAUGGGUAAAGAAGCACCGGCUAACUACGUG